CUAUAGACAGUGAAGCCAAUCAUACUUUCUUUCUCCUGGGGCCCAGUGUGCAGUCGCUGCAAAUAACAUUCUCUUUGAAACUGUCUCUGUACAACCUGUUGCAUGUAGAGGCUGUCCUAAGGAUACUGAAGGCAGUG